AGCGCCGCCACCCCUCUUGAUCUCCCUCCCCAGUGGUUUCUCCUCCAAAUUGAAUGCAAAAAUCGGUUCCUAUCCUCCUCCUCAUCAAUUCCCCCACGUUCUUCCCUCUUAAUUCGGCCUUUAAUCAUCGAAUUGAAUCUCUGAUGAACUGCCGCCAUUGAUGGCAGCCCGGCGAGCUCUCCGGCCGUUCCUCUCCUCUCCCCGGCCGAUCCCCUCCUCCUCCCAGCCUAUAAAAGGAGUCCCGACCCCCUCCUCUCUCCCCACACAACGCAGCCCUCCCCCUCCUCUCUCCCUGGCUGCCGCGCCGCUUUCUUCUCGCGCCGCCGCCGUCGUGCAACUCCGGCCGCCCCUCCUCGGCAGUCGGGACCUCCUCGGAGCCCGGCGUCGCCACUAUCUGCUUCGCAGCGACCUCCUCUUCCCCGGCCUCCUCUCCGUUUCGCCCAGAGGCUGCCGGGAGUGCAUCCUCAUCGGCAACCAGUGGCGCCACCACCGUCGUUCUCCUCCAGUCGGCCCUCACCAUCGAAUCGAGCGACGCCGCAGCGCGCCACUGCCUCCACCGGCGUCGCAGCCGCCUCCUCUUCCUCGGCCCAACCUCUAUUUCUCCUGGAGACUGCCGGAAAUUCGUCCUCAAUGGUGAGCAGUGAUGACGUCGCUUUCAUCCUCGUCCUCCGGCAGCCCUCCCUCGUCGCUAGAGUGCCGGCUCGCUGCACCGUCGCUGCCGUCGGCUUCAUCUCGUCGUCUUCGUCGUCGGCCGCGCCUCCUCGCUGCCCGAAGACCCGUGGAACGUCGCCACGUCGCAGUCGCCUUCCUCUGGUCGCCGUUCCCGCCAAGACUAAGUGCUGCCCGUCAUCAUCGUCGUCAAGUCCGCAGCGCCAAGCCCCUCGUCGUCCGCCUCUUCGUCAAGCCCGAGGAUUGCCAGAGCCAUCCCCUCGUCUUCGACCCGUUCGUCUCCGUCGCCUUCCUCCGUUCGUCGUUGCUGUGCCAAGGUCUUCGCCGGUCGCCAUCGUUGUUCCCUUGCCGCGUCGUGCCCGUGAUUUGUAGCCCUGUUUUGUUGUUCGUGUAGCUGCCGUCGUUUCGGAAGUUCCCAAAGUGCAGAUCAAGUCGUCUGAAGACUUUCUCUUCGAGCAAGGCAAGUCAUACCAUAUUUCUUGAACAUAUUGAAUCCCAUUAUUGCAAAAACUAUGUUGUUUCACUUCUAUAUGCAUCGCUUUUAUAAAUUAUAUGACGCUCACCAUUGUUUAUUUAAUAGUUAAUAUUCCAAUGUUCCUUGUUAUAUAGCCAUGUUGUUGAAUUGCUACCCAUGCUCUUGACAACCCUAGUAAAAUGAUAAAAUGACUAGUAUGACUCCGUAUAUGAUGGACUUACUAGUUGCACUAGGUUGAGCUUAUCUAUGCUUAGAUCCAACAUGGAAACCCUUUUUAUAAAUUAGACUGUGGGUAAUAACUAAAAUAUUCAAGAUUGAUGAUCAGGUGGCUAGCUGAGCCUGGACAUGUUGGAAUCUCAUUCAAAACUCCCAAAACCUGUUUUUGGUGGGGCGCGAGGUGCAUGGUUUUGUUAGAAGCACCUCGGCCACUAUAAGGACCAGUCUUCGGGCCUCUGUUGCGAAGCAUAACAGUGCAACCACAAGUCUAAUGGGUAAGGCCUGACUAGAAGUCUAGAUCAUCUCAAAACAAAGGCCAUCGGUAUGAUAGGUCUGGGGCUAGGGGAGGCCGACUUUGACCUGGCGCAAGAGGGGGCCUGUCUCGUCCCGGGGGAUCCGGCAACCUUUACCUUAUCGAGGACCGGCGGGCGGCGAAACCUUAGCGGGUCCUUCUGUUUUGGGUUGAGCUAGGUGGAUAGUCUUGUCACGAUCUUGACUUUUCGGGUACCUUUGAGGUAUCGCGAUGCAUGGCUGACAUGAAGUCAAGUGUGUCUUGUGGGUAAAAAUGUACACCUCUGAUCGGAGUAAAACUAUUCGAAUAGCCGCGCCCUCGGUUAUGGGCAAGCCUAGCAAUGUACCCAAGUUAGUGUUUUUCUUCUGAGUGAUGGUUGGAAUUCAUGGCACUUUGGACAGGUGGUUAACCUGGGGUUUAAGGCCGGUUUGCGUGGUUUCGCAAUCGUGAUAAUAUUGGACCGAGUUUAAACUAUGCUUUAAAAACAUUAAAAUAUUGCAACUCUGGCUUUACGCAAAAAUGAACCCUAUUAUGCCAACUCUUUGUUCCCCUUUGCACUAUAAUUCAUUUCCCGGCAUGGCUUGCUGAGUACGAUGGUUGUACUCAUUCUUGCUCAAUCUUUCCCCCUUCAGUCAGCGAAACUAUUUGAAGAAUAUGUCUUAGGUGGAGUCCUGGCUUAUACCCCAGUUAAGUGCCUGUGAAGAUGGAGCCGUAGGCCCGCUAGUCUGCUGCUGUUUUUCUUUUGUUGUCGGGCCUAAUGUGCCUUUGUAAUAAUGUAAAUAUUAUCGUGAUAAUUAAUAAAGAUGUGUCUUUUGUAUCAAGUUUGUUGUGGUGUACCCCUGCAUUUCCUGCGACGGGGAUUAAUACAUUAGCGUUUGGGAAAGGUAUUUUCCGGGCGUGACAAGUUGGUAUCAGAGCCAUCUCGACUGUAGGAUAAGCCAAACGAACAAACCCUAAGGACUUAUUUGCCAAACGAAAACUAUUUGUCAAAUUUCCAUUUUCCUUCUUCCCUAUGCUAUUUACAAAGUGUUCAUCUCCCCCUCCCUUGCUUGGAUUCAACACAUAAUAGUUGUGAAGAAGGAACCUGCCUCCGAAGUUCCCCCUCUAAGCACCAAGGAGUGAAGAUCCUGAAGAAUCCUAUAAUUGAACCUAAGCUACCAAGAGUUCCGUAGUUUUCUUUUAGGCGUCUGUUUUCUUGCUUGUGUGUGUAGCGCAUGGUUUACAUCGGUGGGUUGUGAUGUAACCAUGAUAGGUUGCUUGCUUAAUCAACUUGCAGAAUUAAUGUACCGACAUCAUAUCAAUAAAAGAUUAGAUCUUUUAAGGUCUUACCCUUAGUUCUGAUCUAUCCGUCCCCAAUUUUUCCCUCUCUCCCUCUCCAAACCCUGCAGCAGAUGGCUGACAAUAAGAACGGCAAGAAAAUCGGAAGCUAUGAUAAUAGUGCCUCAAGCUCCCAAGCUAAUGAAUCACCGGGUGUAGGCUAUAUGGCAGUGGCCCAACACCUGAUCCGUCAGAACAAACAGCUCAUAACUCUAUUACAGCAAGACAGUUUGCAAUAUCAGAACUGGAGUCAAAAUCAACAUCAAGCCCAGAUGAAUCCGACGCAACCAUUCGCAUCUCAAGUAAGCAUAACGCCGCCACCUCAGAAGGCUCGCAAUGCCAAACCACCAGGUGAUCUACAGGAUACUGCUGAAUUGUGGUCCGGUCAGACCGGGCUAGUGCGGCCGGUCAGACCGAUGUGUAUUGCGCGGUCAGACCGGCGCAGCCCGUGGUCUGACCGGCCGACGCUGUGUCGGUUUCGGUUUCGGGUUGUUUGUUUGGAUA